AGUGAACGCUGGCGGUAGGCCUAACACAUGCAAGUCGAACGGCAGCACAGUAAGAGCUUGCUCUUACGGGUGGCGAGUGGCGGACGGGUGAGGAAUACAUCGGAAUCUACUUUUUCGUGGGGGAUAACGUAGGGAAACUUACGCUAAUACCGCAUACGACCUACGGGUGAAAGCAGGGGAUCUUCGGACCUUGCGCGAUUGAAUGAGCCGAUGUCGGAUUAGCUAGUUGGCGGGGUAAAGGCCCACCAAGGCGACGAUCCGUAGCUGGUCUGAGAGGAUGAUCGGCCACACUGGAACUGAGACACGGUCCAGACUCCUACGGGAGGCAGCAGUGGGGAAUAUUGGGCAAAGGGCGCAAGCCUGAUCCAGCCAUACCGCGUGGGUGAAGAAGGCCUUCGGGUUGUAAAGCCCUUUUGUUGGGAAAGAAAAGCAGCAGGUUAAUACCCCGCUGUUCUGACGGUACCCAAAGAAUAAGCACCGGCUAACUUCGUG
rnacentral:rRNA from 1 species